rnacentral:lncRNA from 1 species
GCUGCGUCAGGCUGUCCCGGUAACGGCUGCGCUGGCAGGGCAGUGCUCGGGGCCGGCUGGUGUAGGUGUAGGUGCUCGGGGCCCGAGAGGUGCGAUCAGUCAGCGCCGAGGCCAUGUCCAGGGGCUGACUGCCUCGCUUUCGGUGGAGCUUCGCUUUGAAGCAGGUGGGCGCUAAGGUGUUGUGGGACCCGGAGAGAUGUAAGUAGUGCCAAGGGCAAGGAUUCCGCGACGCGAGGAGAGGCGACAACAAGGGAGGCGGGCGGGACGGGAGGUUACCAGCGCAGGAGGUGGGAGCUAUACUGGGCUCGCUCCCAGCACCACAGAGACCAGCUGCGGGGGCCGCAUCGGUUGCCCAGCAACCCAGGGUUCUGUCUGGGGGCCGGAACUCCGGGUAGUUCCGGUCCCCGGGUUUCCCGGGAAGGACUGCGGCACAAGGGACUUCCGGCUCUUGACUCCGCCCAGCCGCGCCACCCAGGUAGGUGCGCCUGCGCUUUGCGAGGUUCCUGGCUAGGGAGGCGGCCUUGGCUGGCCUGACCGUCAUCCUUGAGGCCUGCGGGGCAACGGUGGCUGUCCUUGGCCCGGCUUUGGAAUGUGGCUUUGCAGGGCUGGUGUUGGCGCCAUUCUCGCAGGCCCACGUGCUCCUGCUCUUCCAGGGUGUCCUCGGCUGUUUCUCCUGCCGCGGCGCAGCAGCGCUCCCAGGCUGCCCCCGCGAUAACACGCCCCUGGCAGCCAGGCUCCCAGCUCUGUUACGUGCCCGGGCGGGGAAGAGCUUCCUGGUGUCUCCCGGCUCCUGCCCUUCUCCCGCCCCAGGGGCGGGCUGCCGCCGCCCUCUGCAGCUGAGUCAGUGCAGUUCCUCACCUACCUUCUCUGCUCACCGUUGUGUGCUAGCAAUCGGAGGACCCUUGGCACACGGAGCGACAGGGGCCUCCCCCACAGACACCUCAUUUUGGGAAAGAAGGUGCUCUAUGCUUGGCCCAUCAUAGAUUGUGGCCCUUCAUUCCUGCAUUUGAUGAAUCCAGGGAACCCUCUCUCCAACACCCUUGGCCUCUCUGCAACUUUCUAACAUCAGGCAGAGUCAGAGGCACCAUCCCCA